rnacentral:rRNA from 1 species
AGAGUUUGAUCAUGGCUCAGAACGAACGCUGGCGGCAGGCUUCAUACAUGCAAGUCGAGCGGAAAGGCCCCUUCGGGGGUACUCGAGCGGCGAACGGGUGAGUAACAGGUGGGUAAUCUGCCUUUCGGAGGGGGAUAACGGCUGGAAACGGCCGCUAAUACCCCGUACGGUUGCGAAGCUCUCGGGCUUUGCAAAGAAAGGGGCCUUUAAAGCCCCGCCGAAAGAUGAGCCCGCCCCCCAUUAGCUAGUUGGCGGGGUAAUGGCCCACCAAGGCUGUGAUGGGUAGCCGAGCUGAGAGGUUGAUCGGCCACACUGGAACUGAGACACGGUCCAGACACCUACGGGUGGCAGCAGUAGGGAAUAUUGCGCAAUGGGCGAAAGCCUGACGCAGCCAUGCCGCGUGGAUGAUGAAGGCCUUCGGGUCGUAAAGUCCUUUUCUGAGGGAAGAACUGCCGGGGGAGGAAAUGCCCUUGGCUUGACGGUACCUCAGGAAUAAGCAACGGCUAACUCCGUGCCAGCAGCCGCGGUAAUACGGAGGUUGCAAGCGUUGUUCGGAAUGACUGGGCGUAAAGGGAGCGCAGGCGGCCAAGUCAGUCUGAAGUGAAAGCCCGGGGCUUAACCCCGGAAUAGCUUUGGAUACUGCCUGGCUUGAGUGUGCGAUAGGAAAGCGGAAUUCCAGGUGUAGCGGUGAAAUGCGUAGAUAUCUGGAGGAACACCGGUGGCGAAAGCGGCUUUCUGGCGCAUAACUGACGCUGAGGCUCGAAAGCGUGGGGAGCGAACGGGAUUAGAUACCCCGGUAGUCCACGCCGUAAACGUUGUGCACUAGGUGUGGGAGGUAUCGACCCCUUCCGUGCCGAAGCUAACGCAUUAAGUGCACCGCCUGGGGGAGUACGGUCGCAAGACUGAAACUCAAAGGAAUUGACGG